UUGGCCACAGCAGAACUGUACAUCUCGACUCUUUUUUUACAGCUUUUCCAUACUGGGGCCCACUUCCUGCCCAGUUGAGGAAAAAAAUCUGGCCUGAAGAUGAAAUGACUGCUUAACAUUACACUAAAACAUCUGGUACCAUUUUAUGCACAGACCCAUGUCUGAGAGCAGGCGAUUCUAGCGGUCUCUCCAGCGGCACAGCGCAUACCCAAACCUCCCCAGGGUGACAUCAUCCCAUAUAUGGACUCUCCAGCCCAGCCCUCCCCCUUUUCCUGGUCCUAAAUUCAUUGCCAGUUCCCCAGUCUGCAGCAAAUGUGCCACGUCAAGACUGGAAAUCACAGCCCUUGAGUGUGUCUCAGUCAGUGCAGCAGAAUUCAGGGGGGAAAGCUGAAUGCAACCCCUGGUGCAGGAAGGGAGGCUUUUCCCAAAGACAAGGAGAGGAUUUUAAAUACCUAGCUGGAAGCUUCUGGAGAUCCUGCUCCGUCGCCCCAGUGUUCAGACUACCUGUUCAGGACAAUGCCGUUGUACAGUAGUCUGCACAUUGGUUAGACUGGGCAAGGGAGAGCAACGCCAUGGACGACCGGGACAAAAGUUGCCGUUUCCAAGGAGAAGACAUGUGUUUGCUUCUUUUUCAAAUCUCAUAUCCAGUGUUUUUCUUCACAGGUUUUGCACACUAGGGACCAAGAAGCCGGUGGGGACAAAGCGGAGAAAGGACUGCUCGAGGGAGGACCUGCGGGGAUCAUGGGAUCUAUUCCAGAGGAAACUAACCAACAGUGAACAUCUUCAACUAAAACUACUCCUGGAUAUGAUGGUUGCAUGCAUCAUUCCUUUAAUUGAGCAGAGUUAACUGGAUCAAAUUAUUUAUGGGAGAAAGAGGGAGAGCUAUACAGAAUUACAGUAAUUUUUAUUUUCCACCAAUAUACACUUUGUAAGUGAACCACCCUAUAAAUAUUUUAUGUUGCACUGAAUGCAGCAACAAUAACAAAAUAGUUUCUUAAGGUAUUUGUUUCUGCAUACUCUGAUCUUGUAAUUAUUUACAUAGCAACCAUAUUUACUGAUGUUUUUGAUUAUGCCAAGAAAAAAAAGUUCCACUACUCAGAAGUGAUGGCCAGAAACAGGAUCAGACAUUUAUUUUCUUGAAAUUAAAUAAAUAAAUGGAAAACCUCACUUAUCAACUGUUAUAACUGUACCACUGCAUAAAAGUUCAGAUGUGUAGAAAACUGACAUUUGUCAGUCUUUCAGACUGUUUUGCUCUCCAUAAAGUUUCUAUCUGCUUUUUUCUCAGAAUCAUACAAUUAAAAGAAGUAACAACUUGUUUUCUUUAAUAUUCUGUGAAAGAAUUCUAAGUACUGCCUCUUUGGACAAUACAAUUUUGGUUUUUUGUUUUUGAAGAAAUUCCACUCACUGGAAUUUUGACUAUCUGGAUAUUUGUUUUUAAAAGGCAGGGGAAUUUUAUUAAGCACCUCUAUGGAUGUGAACUGAUCAUUUAUAUCAAAACAGUCAAAAGAUUUAUUCUCAAUUCACCAGAAUUAAAUAUUCUGUCUAUAUAUUUAACACCAUUCACUCUUUCUUAUGCAAAUUAUAAGUACAUUUUCCAAAGGUUCUGGUUUUAAAUUUUGAAUAUGAAAAGGAGUUUCCUUUUCUGUGUUAAGGUAUUAUUUUGUUAACUAUAGCACCAGUGAUGUUCAAAAUAUAUUCUGAACAUCACUUUUUAGUUUAUAUCCUUCUGAUACUAAGGCAAAGCCCUGUAGUAAUUAAUAGGAGGAGCACUUAAGCUAACAAUUGCUUUUUAUUUGGUUUCACAUCCAUACUUAGAAACAUUGCAUUAAAAAGAAAAUGAGAAGUUUCAAUAAAUCCCUGUUGCUUAAUAAAGUAUUGGUAAAAAUGUAUGCCAUUGUUCAACCCCACUAUCAAAGCAUAAGAUACCAAAGUUGAAUCGCAAAAUUCAUUAAGCUCAUUUUGAAAAUGGCUGCCGUUUCCAUGAAAAAGAUAAGUUUCUUUUUCAUGGGCAAGGUUAUGGCACUUAUCUACUCCAAGAAACAUGUAUAAACAUAGUCUUUAUCUUGAACUUCAGUAUUAAAAUAUGCAGAAAUUUUAUGAAGAGGAAAAACAUCUGGUUCAGCCCUUCUGAACUCUGACUGCAUGUGGGCAGGAAUAAUACGGAUUGGAAUUAAGAAUAAACCCUGUGUUUAAUUUUUUAUGUCUUUUUCUUAAAAAUUCAAUGUGAAUUUUCUGUUACAUCAGUUCUCCAUGUUAGCACAUUUGAAACAAAUGUAUAAAUGUACUUUCUGAAUAAAGUGAAAAGUCUAACUUGUUUUUAGUUCCAUAAUGUUUUAAUGUUUAAUUCUAUUGUGUGUUUUUCUCCCUUUCCCCUGACCCUCCAAAAUCACCAAAUCUGGAAAGCAGACUGAUUGUAUCUGCCCAUGAGCAAAGGAAACCCGAAGGAACCAAGGGCCUGGCUGGACGAAGUUGUCAUGUGUCUGCCUGUCUACACUUGCUGUGCAGAACAUCCGCUCACCUGUACAGCAGGCACAGACAGGCAGUCACAUGACAACCCAGCCUGAAUGACAACCAGCCAUUGAAAGAAAGCAGCCCUCACACCAUAGCAUCUACACCAAGAACUACAACCAAAAUGAGGGGCGCGGGGAUCUGGGAUUUUAAUCUGUUGGUUUAAUACUUAACUCGUAUGUAUUAUUAUUAUUUUAUUUUGAUUCAAAUAUUGAAACCAAAUUUCCAAAAGUAAAGUGAGUGGUGCCUAUGAAAUAUAAUAAAACCCAUUUCUGAAAAUAUUCCUGUGCUCUCUAUAGUUCUCUUUUCCUAACCGUUGUCAGUAAAUAACUACCCUGGACAUUUAUUUAACACAACUUUGCAGCAUCCCAUAAUCAAUAUAAGUUCAAUCUGAUAUUUCACAAAAAAUAAAUCAUUCUAGUAUUUCACCAAAACUUAAGUUUAGUUUUCAGUAACAUGACUUUUAAGAGAGAGAGGGAAGAAAUGUUCCCUUACCUCUCAUGGAUUUUGAGUUAAUACACUGACAAUUUGGGUCUGGGUAAAACACAGUGAAAAGAGAAUUUAUUUCCAACAAUUUUCACAUGUAUUAAAAUAGUUGUAUCUCCCCUUUUGAUACAUAGAAGGUAAAAUUUGAAGUGCUGAAAUUUUUGAAUGUCAUCAUGCAGAUGUGUUACUGUGUCUUUGUUUGAUUAAGAAGGGACUUGCACUAGAGAUCUGAGGGUGAAAUUUACAGGGCCAAUGCAUUCACUUGGAAUAUAUGCUUCAUUUGUCGUAAACUUUUAAGCUCUGGAGAUAUUUAGGCAGUUCAAUUAUUUUGAAAAAGAGCAAGGAACGGGAUCAAUGGCUAUGCAAUGUGAAUUUUGCCAUCUCUUUUGAGGAAAUGUCAAAAUUUCAGCUAAUGCACUAAGAACUGGAGAAAAAUAACCAGGGCUGGCUUGUUUAGGUGAAUAUUUCAAACAUUUUAGGGUAAAAAGUGGGGAGAUGUGUAAAAUUAAAAAUAUAUCACUUUGACUUGGUUGACUAAAAUGUUUUAAUGUAAGUAUUUAAAAUUUAUUUUUAUCUUUCUUGGAAAAAUUCUGCUCAAUUUUUUAAAGAAGCUCAAAAUUUUCUACUGCCUUAAUUUAAUAUUUCAAAUACAUAUUUUACAUAUUCAGGUAUUUUAUUUUAUAAAUGGGAGAUUUAAUCUCAAGGUUGAAAGCCCAUAAGCUUCAAAAAUUUCUAUAAUUUGGUUAUACUCAAAUCUGACACUAUAGUUCCUUUUAAAAUACAGUGGGCAAAACUAUGAAAUAUGAUUAUGGUCAAAUGUCUUGCUUUCAACAGCCCAGCCUUAUGGACUAUGUUAUCUGCAAAAAAAAAAAAAAAAAAAAAAAAAAAAAAACUUCUGCAUCUGCAAAGGAAAUUGUACCAAGCAUAUGAAACUAUGCUUCAUAAAAUGUAAAAUAUAAUCAGGGACACAAUAUAAGAAUGUGUCAGAGGACAUUUACAUAGGACAACCUGAUUUUAAAUACUUUAUGAGACCUGCAGCAAACACCACUGAUAGGAGGCUAUUUAUGGAUCAUCCUACUGGACCCAGCAAGGCAGACCCAGGACAGUGUCUCUCUCUGGAUGACAUAAUAGCUGGGUCAGAACAUAAAAGAGAUGUUCUAUUUCACCAGACUCCAAAGGGAAAGCUAAGAGGCUAACA